AUUGAACGCUGGCGGCAGGCCUAACACAUGCAAGUCGAGCGAGCGGCGGCCGGGUGAGUAAUGUAUGGGGACUGCCCGAUAGAGGUGGAUAACUACUGGAAACGGUAGCUAAUACCACAUACCAUCGGAUAACACAUAUGGGAUUAGCUAGUAGGUGAGGUAAUGGCUCACCUAGGCGACGAUCCCUAGCUGCUCUGAGAGGAUGAUCAGAAACACAGGGACUAAGACACGGCCCAUACUCCUACGGAGGGAGAGGUGGGGAAUAUUGCACAAUGGGCGCGAGCCUGAUGCAGCCAUGCCGCGUGUAUGAAGAAGGCCGUAGGGUUGUAAAGUACUUUCAGUCGGGGAACGUUACCGACAGGAAAAGCGCCGGCUAACUCCGUGCCAGAAGCCGCGGUAAUAC
rnacentral:rRNA from 1 species